rnacentral:rRNA from 1 species
GGUUUGAUUAUGGCUCAGAUUGAACGCUGGCGGGAUGCUUUACAGUACAAGUCGAACGGCAGCACGGACUUCGGUCUGGUGGCGAGUGGCGAACGGGUGAGUAAUGUAUCGGAACGUGCCUAGUAGCGGGGGAUAACUACGCGAAAGCGUAGCUAAUACCGCAUACGCCCUUCGGGGAAAGCGGGGACCUUCGGGCCUCGCACUAUUAGAGCAGCCGAUAUCGGAUUAGCUAGUUGGUGGGAGUAACGGCUCACCAAGGCGACGAUCCGUAGCUGGUUUGAGAGGACGACCAGCCACACUGGGACUGAGACACGGCCCAGACUCCUACGGGAGGCAGCAGUGGGAAUUUUGGACAAUGGGGGGAAACCUGAUCCAGCCAUCCCGCGUGUGCGAUGAAGGCCUUCGGGUUGUAAAGCACUUUUUUGGCAGGAAAGAAACGGCACGGAUGCAUACCCGUGCAACUGACGAGAAACACCUGCAGAAUAAGCACCGGCUAACUACGUGCCAGCAGCCGCGGUAAUACGUAAGUGCAAGCGUUAAUCGGAAUUACUGGGCGUAAAGCGUGCGCAGGCGGUUCGGAAAGAAAGAUGUGAAAUCCCAGAGCUUAACUUUGGAACUGCAUUUUUUAACUACCGAGCUAGAGUGUGUCAGAGGGAGGGUGGAAUUCCGCGAUAUUAGCAGUGAAAUGCGUAGAUAUGCGGAGGAACACCGAUGGCGAAGGCAGCCUCCUGGGAUAACACUGACGCUCAUGCGAAAGCGUGGGAGCAAACAGGAUUAGAUACCUGGUAGUCCACGCCCUAAACGAUGUCAACUAGCUGUUGGGGCCUUCAGACGCUGGUAGCGCAGCUAACGCGUGAAGUUGACCGCCUGGGGAGUACGGUCGCAAGAUUAAAACUCAAAGGAAUUGACGGGGACCCGCACAAGCGGUGGAUGAUGUGGAUUAAUUCGAUGCAACGAAAAACCUUACCUACCCUUGACAUGUCUGGAAUCCCGAAGAGAUUUGAGGAAUUGCUCGCAAGAGAACCCGGAACACAGGUGCUGCAUGGCUGUCGUCAGCUCGUGUCGUGAGAUGUUGGGUUAAGUCCCGCAACAGGCGCAACCCUUGUCAUUAGUUGCUACGAAAGGGCACUCUAAUGAGACUGCAAACCGGAGGAAGGUGGGGAUGACGUCAAGUCCUCAUGGCCCUUAUGGGUAGGGCUUCACACGUCAUACAAUGGUCAGGGACAGAGGUCGCCAACCCGCGAGGAAGACCAAUCCAGAAACCCGAUCGUAGUCCGGAUCGCAGUCUGCAACUCGACUGCGUGAAGUCGGAAUCGCUAGUAAUCGCGGAUCAGCAUGUCGCGGUGAAUACGUUCCCGGGUCUUGUACACACCGCCCGUCACACCAUGGGAGUGGGUUUUACCAGAAGUAGUUAGCCUAACCGUAAGGAGGGCGAUUACCGCGGUAAGUUCAUGACUGGGGUGAAGUCGUAACAAGGUAA